rnacentral:rRNA from 1 species
AUGUCGUGGUCUUCGGGUCGUUCUCAGGUCGCAGCUUCCGUCGACCUCCGAAGGAGAGGGGACGAAUCGAGGUCGCUGGUGCCCUACCGGGAGAGCCCGAUGGCGUACGAGCCGGAGAAGCUCUGCUGGUGCAGGCCGCGUCGGAAGGCGCCGAGAUGGAUCUUGUGGAGCCGUCAGAACCCAGGCAGGAGGUACUACGCCUGCAUGGAUGCCAUGGUGAGCUUCAUUUUUGUUCUAUUUUUCUGUUCAUUAGUUCUUCUCCCUUCUCAAUGA